rnacentral:rRNA from 1 species
UACGUAGGGUGCAAGCGUUGUCCGGAAUUAUUGGGCGUAAAGGGCUCGUAGGCGGUUUGUCGCGUCGGGGGUGAAAACCUUGGGCUUAACUCAGGGCUUGCUUUCGAUACGGGCAGACUAGAGGUAUGCAGGGGAGAACGGAAUUCCUGGUGUAGCGGUGAAAUGCGCAGAUAUCAGGAGGAACACCGGUGGCGAAGGCGGUUCUCUGGGCAUGAUCUGACGCUGAGGAGCGAAAGUGUGGGGAGCGAACAGG